rnacentral:rRNA from 1 species
CAGGAUGAACGCUGGCGGCGUGCUUAACACGUGCAAGUCGAACGGAGUUUAGAUGAAGCUUGCGAUUCUAAACUUAGUGGCGGACGGGUGAGUAACGCGUGGGUAACCUGCCUUAUACCGGGGGAUAACACUUAGGAAUAGGUGCUAAUACCGCAUAAGCGCACAGGACUGCAUGGUCCAGUGUGAAAAACUCCGGUGGUAUAAGAUGGACCCGCGUCUGAUUAGCUAGUUGGUGAGGUAACGGCCCACCAAGGCGACGAUCAGUAGCCGGCCUGAGAGGGUGAACGGCCACAUUGGGACUGAGACACGGCCCAAACUCCUACGGGAGGCAGCAGUGGGGAAUAUUGGACAAUGGGGGAAACCCUGAUCCAAGCGACGCCGCGUGAGUGAAGAAGUAUUUCGGUAUGUAAAGCUCUAUCAGCAGGGAAGAUAAUGACGGUACCUGACUAAGAAGCCCCGGCUAACUACGUGCCAGCCGCCGC